ACCGCGUUGGUGCAUGAACACGUCGCUAUUAUAUUUCGCCCUCGAAAAUUAGUCUUUGUGACAAAAGGUAAUAUGCUAUUAGCGUCAUAUCUGCACCUGGACAUUCCCCGGGAAAUACUAGUACAUCCUGUAUACAUAAACGUGCGCUUAUGUUAAAAAAUCAUUCAAUAGCGUGCCACCGAAUAGUAACGACACGUCAUGUCGCGGUUCUAUACACUCCUAGUGAACGUUGUCGUCGCAAUGAUAAUCAGCGUCGCGAUCACGUCAGAAAGGGUGAAUCGCACUUCUUAUCAGAUCGAAAAACCGAUUAUGACCGGUCGAGUAAGUGAUAUAAUCUCCCCUCGAAAUCGGAAUGUGGUACCAUUUAUCGGUUCGUCUGUACUUUUUCUGCAUCUGUUCAAGUACAAGCCGCAAAUUCAAAUCAAAUAUCAAAAACUAGACACGAUCAAUCCUACUACCGCCGCUCCGGUAAGAGCUUGCAUAUGUGUACUUUUCUAUCUGUGUGACAAUAAUCGGACAAUCAUCACUGAUGGUUCCGGAAUAAUUGACUUACGUGCAGGAGGAAAUACACAACAAUGUACUGGGGACUUGGAGGUCUGCUGUUAUCCGCCAAAUGUUACAGUAACACCUACGACAUUAACAUUUCCAACUAUACGUCCAACAACGCCUACAAUAACAUUUCCAACUAUAUUAUCAACAAUACCUUCGAUAACAUUUCCAACUCUACCGCCAACAUCUCCAACUAUUCCUCCAACUACUUCACCAACUACCUCUCCAACUAUUCCUCCAACUACUUCACCAACUACCUCUCCAACUACUCCUCCAACUACGGCACCACCACUAUUUCCGAACUGCAUUUGCGUGGUGAUAUCGCAAUGCGAUCCUAAUGGAAUAGUCACCAUCUCCGGCGAGGGUAUAAUAAAUCCGCGGUAUGGCCUGUGCCCCGGUAACCUGGUCUGCUGCAGGAUUUUGGUGAAUACCACGACGCAACCACCGACAAUUCCUCCGACCACAAUGACCACAGUACCGCCCACGGUCACCACUAUAACACCUGGACAAGUGCAACUAUGCUUCAUAUGUGGCAAUAGCACUCUAUGUUUAAACUGCACGCUAGUCAUUUCGCUUGGCGGUGGUGGCAUGAUAGAUCCCAGAUUAUCUCAGGUCUUAUCAGAAGGAAAUGUCUGCACGACGGGGAGCAUACCAUCCUGUCAGAGCGGAUCGUCAGGCGCGCUAAUUACGGACCUCGGCCCGCCGAAGAAUUCGGGUACGUCACAGGAAUGUUACUGCGUGAAGACCUGGCUGUGCUCUGAAGGAAACGUGAUCAGUCCGGACGGUCUUGGCGUAAUUGAUUCGAGAUUCACAUUAUGCUCGUCGGUGGACCAAGUCUGCUGUCGGCUCGCAGGGAUUAAUCGUCAAGGUCUUCGCAACGUCGGCACCUCCGUGUCUCCCAGAGAUCUCGUCCCGUGGAACGAACCACUUAAACGCUCAUCUAUAGACACUGUUUGUGGUAUACAGAACAAUGGUUACGCGCCACCGCAACCUUUUCCCUCUGACUCCGAGACAACCUAUUUCGCUGAAUUCCCAUGGAUGGUCGCGCUUCUUUUAAGAUCCACGACCGACGGUCCUUAUGUUUUCCAGUGCGGUGCUUCAGUAGUCAGUAACGGAGCAGUCCUCACUGCUGCCCAUUGCGUUGUGAACCAAAAACCUGAAAAUUUGGUUGCGCGCUUCGGACAGUGGAACCUAAAAAAUAUUACUCAACCAUUACCUAUUCAAGAAGUGAAAAUCCUCGCAAUAAUCGUGCAUCCGUCGUAUUAUAGCGGCGGGCUUUACCACGAUGUAGCUGUCCUUAUUUUAGCAAAACCAGUCACUUAUAGCGCGAAUGUCCUGCCGAUUUGCCUUCCUGAACAAGGUACAGUCCUAUUGACCGGCACCAGGUGCUACGGAAUAGGAUGGGGCAGCGAUUCGUUUGAAUCGCAAGGACGCUAUCAUACUGAGCUUCGAAAAGUGAAUCUUCCUAUUGUCGAUCGAGAGGUUUGUCAGACACGUUUACGAAGCACGAAAUUGGGCCCGUACUUUGAACUGCAUGGAUCGUUUAUUUGCGCCGGCGGCGAAGCAAAUAGAGACACGUGCCGUGGCGACGGCGGUGGACCGUUGAUUUGUCAAGCUACUACGGGUCAGUUCUCUCAGGUUGGCAUCGUAUCGUGGGGUAUUGGUUGUAAAGUAUCUAAUAUACCUGCAGUGUAUGCUAGCGUAUCGCAACAUCGUCAAUGGAUAGAUCAACAGUUCGCAACUUAUGGCGUAUAAUGAUGUGUUCAAGACAUGCGGAGAAGAUUCGUACGAAACAUCAUAAAUAAAACAUCGACUUUAUCAUGCAGUCUACAGAAUGAUUUAUCAAACGUUUAUCCAAAAAUCUCUUUGUUUUUAUCUUGUGUCGAAAUGUUCCUUGCUGCCAAACAGAUAUUCGAAGGACUCACUUACUCAUUAUGGACUUAAGAUCCGUUGGGAGAAAGGAAAACCACGUCGGACCUCAGGGUCAAUGUGUGUAGGUGGGAAUGCCGGUUCUCCAAGUCUCGGAGUAAUAACGAUAUAGCAGAAGAUAAG
rnacentral:misc_RNA from 1 species